ACCGUUCAUCUAUUAAUUUAUCCUUGCAUGAGAACAUCUAUCAAUAGAGGAAAUAUCAGGCUUCUUGCUUACUACAGUUUAGUCACCCGUUUUUUAGUGUGAGCACUCUUUCAAAUAUGAACACUCUCUUCAGGGAUCAUUGAGAUUCACCUGAGUAUAACAAUUUUAUAAUCCCUCAAAAGGAAUAACAGAAUGCGUCCUACCAUGCACGUCCCUCACAUACUCCAUGAUGGUAAUCACCCUGCCACGUCCUUUACCAAACAAUAGGUAUUUCCUAUAAAUACCCUCCAAGACGAUGAGAAAUGGAUAUUCUACCUCAUUAGCAACUUUGAGUACUUGCUCUCUACAUUUAGCCUUCACAACAACCUUCUCCCUCCUCUUGUACAUUCUUUGGCUCUCCAGGUGAGCUCACCUCCUUUGCAUCAUCACUUCCUCCUCCCUAGCUUUUCCCUUAUAAAGACUUAUAUCAUCAGACUUGAUUUGGAAAUAAAAUUUGACGAACUUAAAUUUGAAUUUGAUGUAAAUAAAUUCAUCAUGAAAAAUUAGUAAUUUGAAUUUGUUUAACUAUAUGAACGAUAUGAACCCAGUUGUCAAACACAAAUCUACAAUGAAUUGAAUCUAAAAUGACCUACACUUGAAAUGAUAUGAACCCAGUUGUCAAACACAAAAGAAUAAAAUUUAUUCAAAAUGGUUUGAAUUUGAAAUGGCCCAAAUGGAAAACCCGAAUCACCUAUGUUGACACCAUUUUUUGGAUGAAAAACGGGGUCGACUUGGGUUUUGACGAAAACGAAUAAAACGGGAGUCGCCACCAAUCCUUUUUGAUGAGGUGUGAUUGGAUCACCUUGAAAACUGAUUGUUUUUAAUAAACGAUUUUAUUUUUUAUUAAAACAACGAUUUUGGUCCACGAAAUCCAAAAAAACGGGUUCGGGAAUCAGUUACGCACGAGGAAGGAUUAGCACCCUCAAUACGCCCAAAAUUGGUACCUAGUUGAUUACUUAAUGUUUUAAUGUCGAAAAUUGAGAACUUUGAAGAAUUUUAAAAAUACGAUCCUUGUAUUAAAAUAAUAAAAAAAUAGAAAAGAAGCAUAUUUUACGUUAUUCGAGAAAGAGAAUCAUAUCCAGUGAGUUAGGACACAAUGUCUCGAGUUCCCGAUACGCGAAUAAAAAAUGCUUAUUUUAAAAAUAUUUUAUCCAUCUCGGAUUUAAAAAACGAAAUCACGACCAGUAAGUUAGGACGCGAUUUUUUAAUCCCGAGAUCAUUUAAAAUUCGAAUUUAAAAAGAUUCGUGCAUUUAGAUUUAUCGUGAAAAUCGAAACCCAGUAAGUUAGGGUACAAUCCUCUCGAAUCUAGACACGAAAUAUUAUUUAUUCAAAACAAAUUUUGUUAAAUAAAGUAUAAUAAAACACGAAAAUCGUAACGGAAAUGCGAAAGCAAAUUACAUUGUUGUUAUGCAUGGUAAAAUUAUAAUGCACGCAAAAGUAUUAUAGCAACAAUAUAAAAUAAGAUCGAACCUACAACAUCCAAACAAGUAAAAUAUAAAAACGAAUAAAAUUAAAUCAUUCAUUCAAAAUAAAUAAUGAAAAUGAAAUAAAUAAAGAGUAAAUACAAUAAAAAAAACAAAGAAAUAUAUAUGUGUAUAUAUAUGUAUAUGGACAUAAAUUAAAAUAUGUACAUAUAUAUUAUAAGAAAGGUAUACAUAAAUAUUGCAAAAUAUAGGAAUAUAUGCAUAUAGAUGAAAAGAUAUAUACAUAUGUGGAAAAUGAAAUGACAUAAUAUAUAUAAACAACAUACGUAUUUUAAUAUAUAUAAAAACAUAUAUAUAUGCAUAUAAAAUUGAGUAGGUAUAUUAAAUAAGUUAAAUAUAUAUAUACGUAUAUGUAUAUAAAAACAAUUGUAUAAUAAUAAUAUAUUAAAACAAAUAUAUUUAAAAAUUUCAUGAGUGAAUAUAAGAAAACAAUAAUACUAACAAUAGUAUUAAUAAAUAUAAUAAUAAUAGUAAAGAUACUAAUGAUAAUAAUAAUAAUAACUAAAUAUUAAUAAAAAAUUGCUAAAAUAUGGACUGAAUCGAAAUAAAAACAAAAGUAUUGGGCGAAAUCGAAAUAAGAAAAGGCAAAAGGGACUAAAUCGUGUAGCACGCUGAAAGAAGGGGUACCAAAAUGGUAAAUACCCCAAAGCCCCAAAACGCUGCGCUUAGAUGAGGACUAAAAUAAAUCAAAAAUAAAACUUUAUGGCCAAAUUGCAAAUAUGCGAAAAACUUCCAUGAAAGCGCUACAAAAUCAAAGGGACUAUUUGCGCAAAUAAUCCAUCUGAAGAAAAUGCGCGGAUCCUCCCCCUGGGUCGGGUCACCGCGCGGGUCAGGGCCAAAACGGCGUCGUUUUGGCACCUGACCCCUAAGGGUAAAACGGCGUCGUUUUGUGAGGGUUAUUUAAACCAAAAUUUUUUUAAAAUCUUCAUUUUAUUCUUCUCCUUCUAAAAAAACUGAAAAAAACCUCUCAAGUUUCUCUCACCCUCUCUCUCAGCCCAGAAUCCGGCGAGGAGGGUCGCCGUUGACGCCGCCGCGCCGGCCACCGUACACGGUGGCCAGAAAAUUCAAGAAAGGUAUUUUUUUUUUUUGCACUUUUCUCUUUAUAUUAUAUGUUUAUAUAAAUAAAUAAACAAAAAAAAAUUAAAAUAUCUGAGAAGAAAACGAAAAUAAAAGGGAACCGACAAUCACCUUUAAACUCUUUUUUUUUGCUUUUUAUUUCUGAAAACGUUAACAAAAAAGAAAACUCCCCCCAUUACAAGAAUGAAGUUCGGUCCCCCUUUUUUUGAUUUCUGUUAUGACUUUAUAGCCAUUUACAACUUGUAUUCUAUUAUUAUUAUUUUUUCUUGUCAUUUCCUUCUCUGGUUUUGCAGGCAAGUGGCGAUGGGACGUGAGGCGGCGGCGUGACAGUGCUGGUGAAGGCGGCGCCGGAAGACUAAAGGUCUAAAGACCUUAGGUGCGGCGCUAGGGUUUCUUUUCUGAAACCCUAGCUAAGCUUUGAGGGGGUUGGGCCAGUUGGGCCUUGUUUUGGGCUCCGGGUUUGGGCCUGCUAUUUUGUUUUUUGUAAUCUGGACUGCUAUUGGGCCUGGGCGAAAUUUGGGCUAUACAACCUAGAAACUGACUUGAAGCCCAAAUGACUCGAUUGAUUUGAAUCAAUUGAUUUGAGUUUAAAAAGUCAAUCAUUCAAACUUGUCUAACCAAACUUGAAAAUAAUUUGAACUUAUAAUGAUCUGAACCCAAAACGACAUAAAAUCCAAAAUGUUCGAACUUAAGUGUCAAGCUCAAUCAAAAAUCCUAAAAUGACCCAACUUGAAAACUCCAAUGACGAAAUUUGGAUGAUCAAAUUUUGAAAUCAUUUGUGUAAUAGCCAUUUUGCCCGGGGCCCAAAACUCGGAAGCCCAAAAUCCAAAUACAAAUAGUCUAGAAAAUACAAAUAAUAACCCAAUCACAAAUGGGCCCAAAAAUUAAAAACCUAGCCCAAACAACAUUAACAUUUUCAGCAGAAAUGAGUAAAAGAAACCCUAGGAGCCGCAUGCCUCGGGUGGCCUCCUCGCCUGCCACACCUAGCCGCACGCCUCUGCUCCUGCCCGCCAACCGCCGCAAGCGCGCCAGGCCUUCUUCAUGCGUGUCAGACACCUACAAAACAAAAGUAGCAAAAAGCAACAGACGAAUAAUCCAAGAUGAAAAAUGACAAACACAAUAGAUUUAGGAGUUUGAAAUCGGCUAUAAAGGCCGAAGCUUGUGAUGGUUUUGGGUCUUCUUCGAUUUUCUUUGUAAAAGAAAAGCAUAACAAAGAUUGAAAAUAAAAAAAGAGAACAAACGGUUGCGGUUUUCUUCUUUUUUUUCGACUCAUUCAUUUAUUUUAUUUAUUAUUAUUUUUCUUUCUUUUUACAAAUCUGUUCUAAAAAACUUUUAAUAAAAGAAAAUAAAAAAGGGAGAGGGGAAGAAGAAGGGUCACCUGAAUCGCUGUAAGCCCCGUCGUCGGAGGCUCCUUUCCGUCACCGGAGUCAGACCAAGAGAAGGCGAGAAAGACUCUUCUCCUUCGGUCUUUCGGGAUUGAAGGUCGGGCCUUCGGGCGAGAUCUAAAACGGGUUGAAAACCCGAAGUUUCGGUGGUCCUGGCCACCGCUUGCGGAGAGGCCACGGCGGCCUCUGGCCGGAAGCCCGACGGUCGGACUGGGAGCCCGCGAGAGAGAGGGAGGCUGAGCCCUCUGUUUUCUUUUGAAAAAAUGAAACAAACAGUUAUUUAUUUAUUUAUUGUAUUUAUAUUAGAAUUAAAACGGCGUCGUUUCAAGAGUGGCCGACCUGCAUGCGCGACCCGACCCGCCAGGGGGAUCCGCGCGUUUCUGAUAAAGGGGCUAUUUCGUCCUUGGUCCCUCCUCGUUAUUAUUUUGUUUUAAUUUAGUCCUUUUCUUGUUUAGUUAUCUUUUUAUUUUGGCCCCACGAAUGUUCAGCAUUUUCCUUUUUAGUCCGCAUUGAAUUGUUGUGUGCUUGGGCUGGGAUAAUUGCGCGAUCAGUCCCUCCUGCUUGACGCGCGUUUUACUUUAGUCUUUCUUUAUCAUUUUAUUUCAUUUUAAAAUAUGUCCCCUAUUUUUUAUCUUUUAUUAUUAUUUUUCUUAUAUUUCAUCAUUAAUAUUAUUAUUUACUGAUUCUUAUUUUUUAAAUUUUAAAUUUGGUUAUAUACAUAUAUAUACAUAUAACUGUUUUUUUCAUAUUUUAUAAUUUCAAAGCAUACAUAUAUAUACAUGCAUACAUUUCUUCAACAUAUACGUACGUACUUUAUUAUUAUUAUUAUAAAAUAUACAUGUAUACACAUACUCUCAUAUUUUUAGACAUUUCAUAUUUUUCAUAUACAUAUACAUCCUUACACAUAUUUUUAUAUUUGAUAAUUUUAAAAUAUAUACAUACAUAGAUUUUUCAUAUUUUCAUAAUUUUGUGUACAUUCAUGUAUAUACGUUUUUUUUACAUCUAUUCGUUAUUUAUUUAUUUAAUUACAUUUUCAUUAUUAUUUAGAAAAGAGGAUUCGAUUUUAUUUGCCUAUGUAUUUGUCACUUUGUAUGUUAUUGAUUGGUCCAUUUUAUUAUCUUAUUUUUGUUGCUAUUACUCGUGUUGUUUUUAUGCUAUCAUAUUCAUUAUUGUUUUGCUAUGCAUAUUAACACCUUACAUCAAAAAGAAAAUUUUUUUCUAAAUAAAGCAAUGUUUUGCGUUUGGAAAAUCGAGAAAAUGUGCCCUAACGUGCUGGGUUUUGAUUUCUCGUUCGACCAAAAUAGCCAAAUAUCUUUUUUAAACUUUCAAAAUAAGGCAAUAUUUCGUAUUUAGAAAAUUCGAGAAAAUCGUGCCCUAACUUACUGAGCUUCGAUUUUUCUCGCAUUGAUCCUAAAUAAUUGAAUAUCCUUUUAAAAUUGAAAUAAAUAAGGUUUAAAUAAAAAAUAAAAGGCAAGCUUACUCUCAAAAAUACGAGGUGUCGUGUUCUAACUUACUGGAUGUGACAUCUUGUUACUUCAAGCUAAGGGGGCAUUUUCCAUUUUGAUUUAUUCGAGUAAUUUUAAAAUAACACAAUAUAAAGAGGGAUCGUAUUUUUAAAUUAUUUUCGAGUUUUUAAUUUUCGACACCAAGACAUUAAGUAAUCAACUAGGUACCAAUUUUGGGCGUUACGAGGGUGCUAAUCCUUCCUCGUACGUAACCGACUCCUGAACCUAUUUCUUUGAUUUUCGCAGACCAAAUGCAUUGUUUUAAUAAAUCUAAAUCGUUUAUUAAAAAUAACCGUUUUACGAGGUGACCCGAUCACACCUCAUCAAAAAAGAUUGGUGGGGACUCCUGUUUUCGUUUUAUUUUUAAAAUCCAAGUCGACCCCGUUUUCAUCAAAAAAAAUGGUGUCAACAAUUUGAACUUGAAAAGAGACAAGAACUAAACCCAAAAUUAUUACUCAAAAUAAUCUUAAAAAAUUAAACCCUAAAUUGAUGAAGCCCAUAUUUAUCCAACUCAUCCAAUUAAUUAGCGAUGGGGGAUGAGGAUUUAGGUUAAAGUUCAAAGUAUAAAAUUGAUAAAAGAAAUAGUAAGAUAAUCUUUGUAGGUUUUUAGUGAAUGAAGUGUGAGAAAAUAUAAGGCAUAAUUUUUACUGUUAGACAUUUUUAUUUGUCAAUUUGUUUUUUUAAUUUAAUUUUACCCUUAACCUAUCAAAAGGAGUCGAAUAUUAUCAUCAACCUUUUAGAAAGAGUCGAAUUGUUAUUUUUUAACGGGAAUAUAAAUUAAAACAUUAAUUUUUUAAACAUGAUAACUAGCAUAAUAAUCUACGUGUACUUCAUUUUUUUUAAUUUUAUGAACUUUUUAUAUUUUUUGAUUUUUAAAUAUUUUAUAAUUUUUAAAUUAUUUUUUGAUGUGAGAUAUAAGACAAAUAGUAUUAUAUCAGUAAGAAAUACACGUGAACGGAUUGCCACGUGAGCUGUCAUGACAACAUCAUUAAAAAGUUAAUGUUUUAACCAUUAUUUCUAUUAAAAAAUUAUUUAACUUUAUUUUUGAAAAGUUAAUAAUCAAAUUUAGUUUAAAAAUAAAAAUUAAAUUUUUGAAAAAUAUAAAUAUUAAAAAUUAAAUUUCUCAUUAUACCAAAAUAUAAGUGAAUUAAAAGGUAAAUUGUAGGGAUAUAACACUGUCGUUGAAACAAUUAAGCAAUUGAGGUAUGAUGGUGAAAGUAUCAUUUAUCAAAUUAAUUGAGUUGAAAAGCUGGAGCCGAUAUUAAGGUUGGAAACAGUAAUGUUAUAUCACAAUCUAUAAAAGAUGAAGACACGUCAGGUGGUUGCCAUCAAAGAAAUCAGCUUUCAAGCCUUUGGGUUUUAAAUUACUUUUGAAGUGGAAAACACUAUUGGAAUCACAAGAAAUAAAAACAUGCAUGGUUGACAAAAUAACCAAACAGUGACGUGAUCUGUCAUGUGUACCUCAUGUUGACGUACAAUGACCAAUUUUUAACAACAGAAAUGGAUAAAAUUUUUAACAAAAAGGUCAAUUUACUUUUUUAUCUAAUAUACAAGAACUAAUUUGCCUAUUUUUUUAGUAGAAGGGGCCUCAAUGGUACUUUUACCUUUAUAACCUAAUGUACCAUAUGCAAUAUUUAUAUUGGGUAUGUUAGUAAAAAUCUUCGGUGAGAAAAAUCUCAAACACACGAACGGAAUAUGAACAACAACUCAAACAGAAAAUGAAGAAAUAGGACAAAGCUCCAAGACGUGUAUCAAGCCACUAUCUUUAAGGUUCUAUUUUCUCCCACCUAUACUCGAUGUGCAAAUGAGUGUCAAGCAAAUGAACCUCGAGGAUACAAUGAAGCCUGAUUAUUAUUUGUGUUUUGCACUGACGAAAAUAAUCCACUAAGCAAUGUAUAACAAGAAAAUCAAUUUAUAUAAAGAAUUUUUGCAGUAACCCUUUAUAGAACAAUCUAAUAAUAUUAGAAGAUGGAGGAAAGUUAGAAAGAAUUUUUAGAACUUGUUUGUAUGAUUUCCAAAUGAAAUAUCAUUCCUAUUUAUAGGAAUUUCCAUGUCUCUUCAUAAAAACAUAUUUCAAUAGGUGUCUUUUUGUGAAUAAUAACAUUUUUAAAAAGACACAUAAUUAUUCAUCUAAUAUUAUAACUAUUCAAAUAAUAUUGUUUGAAUGGUUAUAACUUUUUGUCAAAAAUCAAGUGAUAUAACUCUUGACCAAUAACCUAAAGAUUUAAAUUUUGAUUAAUUACACCCUUUCAUUUAUAGUUAUUGGAACACUAUCAAUAUUUGAAAAUGUUCUAGCAAUCUCCCCCACAUUUUCAAAAUAUUUUAGAUUUUGAUAUUCUUGGAAAUCAAUUUGCAUAAAUAAAGGUGACUUACGAUUGAAACUUCACUUAGUGAAAACAUGUUAGAGUUAAUCGAAAUUGCAUGGUAGACUAAGUUUUGAACCAGCUAUUCCAUUUGAUUAACCGAACACAUCUCACACAAUGAUUUCAAUAUUGGUCAAUGCAUAGUACCCAGGGACACUACUAUGGCCAUGUGUCUGUGUCCUCUUUUCAUGAGUGUUGUAAGAGCCAAGCCCUUGAUCUCUUAGAAGCGGCCACACUUCCACUCACAUAGGUAGAUCCUAUCAAGAGUGUUCCCGUAAUUAUAACACUCUAACAUAUUUAAUUUAUGGGUCCAUUAAGAGUACAUUACUCACCCUUCCCUUAUCAUUAUGUGUACCUAGCACUUCAAUCUUAGGAUGGAUUUAUUUAUAGUUCUAGUAGUCACAUACUAACGAUGUAUUUUGUCUCAUUGAACUCAAGACUUGAUGUUAUACCAAGCGUUAAGUCAAUUUUCCAUCAUGGGUGACUCUAGUUAAUGGACUUGAGUCUCAUCCCUUUUCAGGUCUUGUUGACUACAUUUUUAGCAAGGUGUUUUGUCAAAAGAUCUGCCAAAUUUUCACUUGACCUUAUAUAAUUAAUAGUGAUCACUCCAUCAGAGAUUAAUUGUCAGACAUAGCUAUGUCUUAAUCCAAUGUGUCUAGACUUUCCAUUAUAUACUUGGCUAUAUACCUUUUUUUAGAGUAGUAUCAUUAUCACAAUGGAUAGAAAUAGGUGAAAUUGGUUUAGGCCAUAGAGGUAUAUCAUAAAGCAUAUUUCUUAACCAUUUUGGUUCUUUAGAUACAACGACUAAUACAAUAAAUUCGACUGUCAUGGUGGAAUCAGUAAUACAUGUUUGUCUCUUGGAACCCCAAGAAUUGGCUCAUCCACCAAGAAUGAAGAUCCAUCCAUUAGUAGAAACAUGAUCUUCCAAACUUGUAAUCCAACUAGUAUACGAAUACCCUUCUAAAACUAAAGGAUAUCCAUUAUAACACAACUCAUAGUUAAUAGUUUUCUUUAAGUACCUAAAUACUCUAUUCAAAGCUUAUCAAUGCAAAUUACUUGGAUUACUUGUGUACCUACUCAAUUUCCCAACAACAUAUGCAAUAUCUGGUCUAGUACAAGUCAUUAUGUACACAAGACAACCAAUUAGACUUGCAUAUUACAAUUGAUCAAUUUUCCUGCCAGCAUUAGAUACUAAUUUUAUUUGAAGAUUCAUAGGUGUAGAUACUGGUAUACAAUUGAAAAUAUCAAACUUUUUAAGCAACUUUUCAAUGUAAUGUGAUUGUGAUAAAGCUAUAGUGUUUUACUCUUGGGUUAUUUUAAUCCCAAGAAUAACAUUUGUUACAUCCAUAUCCUUCAUAGCAAAGUUUUUUGACAAGAAUUUCUUUUUGUUUUCUAUUUGUUCCAAAUCCGUGCCAAUAUGAGCAUGUCAUCUACAUAUAAGCAAAUUAUGACACAUUUUCCAUUUUCAGAUUUGCUAUUUAUGCACUUAUCAGAUUCAUUUAUUUUAUAGUCAUUAGUUAGAACAACCUUGUCAAACUUUUGGUGUCAUUGCUUUGGUGCUUGUUUAAGUCCAUAUAGAGAUUUAACAAGCUUACAUACCUUAUACUAUUGUCCUAGAACAAUAAAUCCUUUCUAUUGUUCCAUGUACACUUCCUCUUCGAAUUCACCAUUUAAAAGUGCAUUUUUAACAUCCAUUUGGUGAACAAUCAAAUUAUAAAUUGAGAUAAGUGAUAUUAAGAGUCUAAUCGUAGAAAUUCUUGCUACUAGAGCAUAGGUAUCAAAAUAAUCAAUACCUUGUUUUUAUGCAAAACCUUUGGCUACCAACCUUGCUUUAAAUUUAUAAAUGGUUUCAUCGACCUUCAGUUUCUUUUUGAAGAUCCAUUUACAACCUAUUGGUUUGGAACCCGAUGGAAGAUCAACUAAAAUCUAAGUUUGAUUUCCCAUUAUUGAAUCCAUCUCAUUAUUUAACUCUUCUUUCCAAAAAGUAGAGUCUUGAGAUUUCAUUUUCUCUUCAAAUGUAAUAAGAUCAAAUUCUGAAUUAUAACAAUAAGGUAUAUUUUGUCUAUGAUUUCACAUUUUCCUUCUACAAAGAACAUAAUGAAAUCUGGUCCAAAAUCUUUGACCUUUUUUUAAUCAUUUUACUUCUUAAUUUUUGACAAGAUUCAUCAUUAUUAUCAAUUUGUUCUAAUGGAAUCUCAUUCUCAUUUGAAGAAUGAAUUAAUUGUUGUGGUUGUAAUAAUCUUGAAAUAGAAUUAAAUCUAUUUUCAUAAAAAUAGCAUCUCUUGAUUCAAUAACAGUAUUAAUUGAAAUUGAAUCAUUUGGUUCAAUUACCAUGAACCUAUAAAUAUGCAUUCAACUCAUCUUUCGCCUAACUUUUUACGUUUAGGUGUUAGAUCUUUGACAAUAGCUCUACAACACCAAACCUUCAAAUAAUUAAGGUUUAGUUUCCUUUUCUUCCAUUGUUCAUAAGAAUUUAUUUUAGCUUCCUUAUUAAGAACUCUAUUCAAUAUUUGACAAGCUGUUAGAACAGCUUCUCCCCAAAAACCUUCUCCAAGACCUGAAUAUGAUAAUAUUGAAUUUACCAUUUCAGUCAAGACUCUAUUUUUCCUUUCAGCUAUACCGUUUUCUUGUGGUGUGUAAGGAGCUGAAACUUGAUGAAUAAUUCCAGUAGAUUCAAAAUAACUUGGAUUAUAGUAUUCUCCACCUCUAUCCGAUCUUAAGCUCUUGAUAAAUGAUUCACACUAAAGUUCAACUUCAGAUUUAUAAACUUUAAAAUUUUCAAGUGUUUCAUCUUUUGAAUGCAAUAAAUAUACAUAGCAAUAACUAGAACAAUCAUCAAUAAAAGUAACAAAAUAUUUCUUUCCACCUAAUGUAGGAGUAUUAUGCAUGUCACAUAAAACAAUAUCUAUCAAAUCAAACAACUUUGUUUUCCUUUUAACCUUAGGGUAAGGGUUUCUAGUAAUUUGAGUCAACAUACAUGUAUUGUAUUUUUCAAUAUUAUUAUUAAAAACGAGAAUUAAAUCUAACUUAUAUAUGUCAUUAAAUUUUCUGUAAUUCAAAUGACCUAAUCUAUACUGCCAUAAAUAAGAAGAUUCAACCAUAUAAGCAGAAGUAGUAUUUUUAUUCUUAUUAAUAAUAUUGAGUUUGAACAUGCCCGCAUACAUAUACUCUUUCCCUACAAAAAUUCAUCAUUUAGACAGAAUAAACUUAUUUGCCACAAAAACAAGUUUGGAAACAAACUUAUUUAACAAACUUCCAGACACUAAAUUCUUCCUAACUUCUGGUACAUGAUAUACAUCAUUCAAGGUUAAAACCUUUCCAGAAGUGAAUUGUAGUUCAAUAGACCCUUUGACUUUGAUUGCUAUGGUGAAAAAAUUUCCCAUGUACAAGACACUGUUGUUGGAUCACCGGUACAUCACGUGGCAUAGCGGAAAAAUUUUUUCAGCGAUCAUCAACCAUGGAUCCAUGGAUGAGGAACGAAUCAGGUUGAAAAAAGGCUAAAAAAUAUACCUUUCAAAAAUGAAAAACGAUGUGUAAGGUUGUUUAUAGGAUCUCUUCGGAGAUGUCAAUUCGAAGAUGCAACAAUAACGUCUCCGCUUCUAUGUAAUCCACCUAAUCAAAGAACAAAUAGCAAAAUUCUCUUGAACUUUUCAGAGAGAAUUUUCAAGAACGGCUGUUAGACCUUUUAGGUGUGUGUUUGUGUUUUUAGGUAACCCUAACACAUCAGGGAUUCAUAUUCCUUUUAUUUUUUCUUUGAUAUCUCAUAUUAGGAAAAAAAAAUUGAGAUUAUUCCCUUAUUUUUAAAGAAACAAAUAGAAAGUCAAAAUAAAAAUUAUAUUAUUUCUAAAAGAAUAUCAAUUUUCAUGUCUUUUUAUAUUUUGAUCAAAAUUAUUAUAAUUGUUUAUAUUAAUAAUUUCGGUAAACUAUAUUAAAUUAAUAUUUUGUAUGAAUCAAAUUCAUAUAUUAAUUUUAUAUAUGUUCUUUAUAUGUGUGCAACAAACUUGUACAUAUAAUGUGUUCAAUAUUUAACUAUCAAAUUAAUUUAAUUCAAUAAUUAAUUUAAUUCAUGUGACAACUAAAUACAAUACCAAAUGUAUUUGGAUUCUGUUCGCUUCAACUAUAGGUGUGACCUUGCAGGCUCUUGUAACGUUAGUAGUAAUACUAGAACGUUUCUACUAUUACGAGCAAUGAGUGGCAUCUAGCAAUGCAUAAUUGCUACCCAUGUUACAAGAAGUCGUGAUUCAACAUAACCUUUCCGUGAUAAUCUUUUUCAUGUAUUAUAUCCUUUUAUCCUUAAUAUCUAGAUUAGACAUAAGUCAUGGAAUAGUCACACUUGUAUAGUUCAAUCUCAUAUUUCUUGAUAUUCUAAGUAGACUACAAUAAACAAAUAAGUGUGAUAUCUCAUAUCAACUUAUUCGAGCAUGACCAUGCAUUUCUAGCCUUACUCCAUCAAGAAGCUUAAGAUAUUGCUCCCAUUAUGCAUGAGGGAUAAAUCCUAUCUUGAUCAAUCAUAUCCCUUUACAUAGAUUGCGACAUACUCAACAUCAGUCUUUAUAGUAUAACCUGUUAUGGUAGACGUUUGACUGUGUCAAAAUAUACAACUCACUAUGUUGGGACAAUGAUGAUCUCAAGUCUAAGGAUCAUAUACAUAGUUAUCACUAUGAUUAAUAUUGUGACUAUUACAUAAUAAUCCAAAAAUCAUACUCAUAACAAGUCAGCCGAGUAUGUUUUUCUCUAACACAUACUCAUGUAUCGAUUUUGACAUCUCUGCGUCAAUGACAACACUUUGUUAUCAAUAAACUAGAUAUUAGUCUCAAUGCAUUAUCAUUGUCCAAGUCCAUAAUAAUACUUGGCUAAAGACUUUUUAAGAAUAAUCAUAUUAUUCUCAAGGCUUUAUUAAACUAGUUUAUUUGUACGCAUAGAAAAAGUAACUAAAAUAACAAUGGCAAUACACUAUAUUAACAAACCAAGUAAAACGAGUAAGUGAUUACAAUCAUCUCAUGAUUGGUCUUUGGGCAAUAUUCACAUUGUGUGAACUUUGUGAACAUGUUUUUGUCUUUGCGCACAUGUUUGGUUGCUCCAGUAUCAAUCCACCAUGAAUUAUCAUCUUGUGCCAUAUUAAUUUCAAAAAUCAUGGCAAUGAACUUUUCAUUAUUAUCAACCUUAGAAGAUUGUUUCUUCUUUAAAGAUCGACAUUCAUUCUUAAAAUAUCUUGGCUUACCACAAUGAUAGCAUGAGUCAUUUUUUUUUGAACUUAGGUGCUCUAUCAGUCUGUUUGAAUUUUCUCUUGGAUGGUUUAGUUGUCUGUACUUCCUUCGUAACAUGCACUUUGGCAUUUUUAGAAUCUAGGUUCUGAUCUUGCUUUCGAUAUUCUUCUUCAAUAAAAAAAAUGAUUUGCCAAAGCCUCAAGAGAUAUUUCCUCUUUCUUAUGUUUUAGACUUCUUUUAAAGUCUUUCCAAGAUGGAGAAAGUUUGUCUAUAAUGGAGGAUGCAACAAUAAUUUCAUCCAUUUUCAUAUCAUAUUGCUUAAAUUGAUGCAACAUUUUUUCAA
rnacentral:lncRNA from 1 species